rnacentral:rRNA from 1 species
AGUGAACGCUGGCGGCAGGCCUAACACAUGCAAGUCGAGCGGCAGCGCGGGGGCAACCCUGGCGGCGAGCGGCGGACGGGUGAGGAAUUCGUCGGAAUCUGCCUUUUUGUGGGGGAUAACGUAGGGAAACUUACGCUAAUACCGCAUACGUCCUACGGGAGAAAGUGGGGGACCGCAAGGCCUCACGCAGAAAGAUGAGCCGACGACCGAUUAGCUAGUUUGUGGGGUAAAGGCCCACCAAGGCGACGAUCGGUAGCUGGUCUGAGAGGAUGAUCAGCCACACUGGGACUGAGACACGGCCCAGACUCCUACGGGAGGCAGCAGUGGGGAAUAUUGGACAAUGGGCGCAAGCCUGAUCCAGCCAUGCCGCGUGUGUGAAGAAGGCCUUCGGGUUGUAAAGCACUUUUGUCCGGAAAGAAAUCCCUGGAGCUAAUACCUUCGGGGGAUGACGGUACCGGAAGAAUAAGCACCGGCUAACUUCGUG